rnacentral:rRNA from 1 species
GGGGAAUUUUGCGCAAUGGGCGAAAGCCUGACGCAGCAACGCCGCGUGAGUGAUGAAGGCCUUCGGGUCGUAAAGCUCUGUCAGAAGGGAAGAAAUGGAAGGGUGUUAAUACCAUCUUUUCUUGACGGUACCUUCAAAGGAAGCACCGGCUAACUCCGUGCCAGCAGCCGCGGUAAUACGGAGGGUGCAAGCGUUGUUCGGAAUUAUUGGGCGUAAAGCGCGUGUAGGCGGUCUUUUAAGUCUGAUGUGAAAGCCCCGGGCUCAACCUGGGAAGUGCAUUGGAAUCUGGGAGACUUGAAUACGGGAGAGGGCAGUGGAAUUCCUAGUGUAGGAGUGAAAUCCGUAGAUAUUAGGAGGAACACCGGUGGCGAAGGCGGCUGCUUGGACCGAUAUUGACGCUGAGACGCGAAAGCGUGGGGAGCAAAC